UACGUAGGGUGCAGGCGUUAAUCGGAAUUACAGGGCGUAAAGCGUGCGCAGGCGGUUUGCUAAGACAGGUGUGAAAUCCCCGGGCUUAACCUGGGAACUGCGCUUGUUACUGGCAAGCUGGAGUGUGGCAGAGGGGGGUGGAAUUCCACGUGUAGCAGUGAAAUGCGUAGAUAUGCGGAGGAACACCGAUGGCGAAGGCAAUCCCCUGGGCCUGCACUGACGCUCAUGCACGAAAGCGUGGGGAGCAAACAGG
rnacentral:rRNA from 1 species